AUGUACUGCUUCUAAUCGUCCUCAGGACAAUUAUUGACCAUUUGACCUCAAAUCAGGUAGGACUACCCGCUGAACUUAAGCAUAUCAAUAAGCGGAGGGG
rnacentral:rRNA from 1 species